CCCCGGGUCCGGAAUACCCCCCCCGCCGCCCCACAUUUUUUUUCUUCCUUCCUAAAUAGUAAUGUCUGGGAAACUGCCCGAUGGAGGGGGAUAACUACUGGAAACGGUAGCUAAUACCGCAUAAUGUCGCAGACCAAAGAGGGGGACCUUCGGGCCUCUUGCCAUCGGAUGUGCCCAGAUGGGAUUAGCUAGUAGGUGGGGUAACGGCUCACCUAGGCGACGAUCCCUAGCUGGUCUGAGAGGAUGACCAGCCCACUGGAACUGAACACGGUCCAGACUCCUACGGGAGGCAGCAGUGGGGAAUAUUGCACAAUGGGCGCAAGCCUGAUGCAGCCAUGCCGCGUGUAUGAAGAGGCCUUCGGGUUGUAAAGUACUUUCAGCGAGGAGGAAGGCGUUGUGGUUAAUAACCACACCGGUUGACGUACUCGCGAAGAAGCACCGGCUAACUCCGUGCCACAGCCGCGGUAAUACGGAGGGGCAACGUUAAUCGGAAUACUGGGCUAAAGCGCACCAGGCGGUCUGUCAGUCGGAUGUAAAUCCCCGGGUCAACCUGGGA
rnacentral:rRNA from 1 species